rnacentral:rRNA from 1 species
GUGGGGAAUAUUGGACAAUGGGCGAAAGCCUGAUCCAGCCAUGCCGCGUGUGUGAAGAAGGUCUUCGGAUUGUAAAGCACUUUAAGUUGGGAGGAAGGGCAGUAAGUUAAUACCUUGCUGUUUUGACGUUACCGACAGAAUAAGCACCGGCUAACUUCGUGCCAGCAGCCGCGGUAAUACGAAGGGUGCAAGCGUUAAUCGGAAUUACUGGGCGUAAAGCGCGCGUAGGUGGUUUUGUAAGUUGGAGGUGAAAUCCCCGGGCUCAACCUGGGAACGGCCUCCAAAACUGCAUGACUAGAGUACGGUAGAGGGUAGUGGAAUUUCCUGUGUAGCGGUGAAAUGCGUAGAUAUAGGAAGGAACACCAGUGGCGAAGGCGACUACCUGGACUGAUACUGACACUGAGGUGCGAAAGCGUGGGGAGCAAACAGGAUUAGAUACCCCUGUAGUCC